GACGAACCGUGCAAACGUUGUUCGGAAUCAUUGGGCUUAAAGGGUGCGUAGGCUGGCUUUCAAGUCCGUGGUGAAAUCCUCCGGCUCAACCGGAGAACUGCCGCGGAUACUGGAAGUCUCGAGGGGUGUAGGGGCAUGUGGAACUCAGGGUGGAGCGGUGAAAUGCGUAGAGAUCCUGAGGAACGCCGGUGGCGAAAGCGACGUGCUGGACACCUUCUGACGCUGAGGCACGAAAGCCAGGGGAGCAAACGGG
rnacentral:rRNA from 1 species